rnacentral:rRNA from 1 species
GAGGAAUAUUGGUCAAUGGGCGAGAGCCUGAACCAGCCAAGUAGCGUGCAGGAUGACGGCCCUCCGGGUUGUAAACUGCUUUUAGUUGGGAAUAAAAAAAGGGACUUGUCCCUUCUUGUAUGUACCUUCAGAAAAAGGACCGGCUAAUUCCGUGCCAGCAGCCGCGGUAAUACGGAAGGUCCGGGCGUUAUCCGGAUUUAUUGGGUUUAAAGGGAGCGUAGGCCGGAGAUUAAGUGUGUUGUGAAAUGUAGACGCUCAACGUCUGACUUGCAGCGCAUACUGGUUUCCUUGAGUACGCACAACGUUGACGGAAUUCGUCGUGUAGCGGUGAAAUGCUUAGAUAUGACGAAGAACUCCGAUUGCGAAGGCAGCUGACGGGAGCGCAACUGACGCUUAAGCUCGAAGGUGCGGGUAUCGAACAGGAUUAGAUACCCUGGUAGUCCGCACAGUAAACGAUGGAUGCCCGCUGUUGGUACCUGGUAUCAGCGGCUAAGCGAAAGCAUUAAGCAUCCCACCUGGGGAGUACGCCGGCAACGGUG